rnacentral:rRNA from 1 species
UGAAUACGAGACGCUAAGGCGUCGAAGUAGUGUAUGUCAUACUUCCAAGAAAAGCUUGCACUGUCAUAGAUAAAAAACGCCUGUACCAUAACCGACACAGGUGGGUAGGUAGAGUAUACUAAGAGGCGCGAGAUAACUCUCUCUAAGGAACUCGGCAAAAUAACUCCGUAACUUCGGGAGAAGGAGUGCCUUAUUCGUAAGGUUGCAAUAACAAGAUCCAAGCAACUGUUUAUCAAAAACACAGGUCUCCGCUAAGUCGUAAGACGAUGUAUGGGGGCUGACGCCUGCCCAGUGCCAGAAGGUUAAAGAAGUUGGUUAGCAAUUGCGAAGCUGAUAACUGAAGCCCUGGUGAACGGCGGCCGUAACAAUAACGGUCCUAAGGUAGCGAAAUUCCUUGUCGGGUAAGUUCCGACCCGCACGAAAGGCGUAAUGAUUUGGAUACUGUCUCGGAGAGGGGCUCGGUGAAAUAGACUUGUCUGUGAAGAUGCGGACUACCUGCACCAGGACAGAAAGACCCUAUGAAGCUUUACUGUAACUUGAAAUUGAAAUUGGACUUUAUUCGCGCAGUAUAGGAGGGAGGCGUUGAUUAUAAUCUUGUGGGAUUAUUGGAGCCAUCAGUGAGAUACCACUCUUGUAAUGUUAGAUUUCUAACUUUGAAUCAUUAUCUGGUCAAAGAACAGUUUCAGGCGGGCAGUUUGACUGGGGCGGUCGCCUCCUAAACGGUAACGGAGGCGUACAAAGGUUUCCUCUGAACGGUUAGAAAUCGUAUCUAGAGUGUAAAGGCAUAAGGAAGCUUGACUGUGAGACCUACAAGUCGAGCAGGGACGAAAGUCGGUCUUAGUGAUCUGACGGUACUGAGUGGAAAGGCCGUCACUCAACGGAUAAAAGUUACUCUAGGAUAACAGGCUGAUCUCCCCCAAGAGUUCACAUCGACGGGGAGGUUUGGCACCUCGAUGUCGGCUCAUCGCAUCCUGGGGCGGUAGUACGUCCCAAGGGUUGGGCUGUUCGCCCAUGAAAGCGGUACGCGAGCUGGGUUCAGAACGUCGUGAGACAGUUCGGUCCAUAUCCGGUGUAGGCGUUAGAAUAUUGAGAGGAGCCUUCUUUAGUACGAGAGGACCGAGAAGGACAUACCUCUGGUGUACCAGUUAUCGUGCCAACGGUAAACGCUGGGUAGCUAUGUAUGGAGUGGAUAACCGCUGAAAGCAUCUAAGUGGGAAGCCCACCUCAAGAUAAGUAUUCUCAUC